GCCAUGGCUCAGUGGUAGAGCAUCUGCUUUGUAUGUAGAAGAUCCCAGGUUCAGUCUCCGGCAUAAUCU